GACCACCGAAGAGGCAGCAUGUAACUUGCCCAGCUGAGAAAGAUGCUGAGGUACCAAACUCGCAUGGAGCCAUCGUGGGACGCAAGGAAACCCCCCCUCCUGGCCCUCUGAAGUCCUACUUCACAUUCUACAAGUCAGAACAAGCUUCCCUUUCCCUGAAGAAUGUGGUACCCACAAGGCACAGUUGUCUGCUGGAAUUGAAGAUGAAAAGAAAGAAACAGCAAGGAAGGAAGGAAGGAAGGAAGGAAGGAAGGAAGGAAGGAAGGAAGGA